rnacentral:lncRNA from 1 species
UUUCUUUCUCAUUUUGUUUGCUGUAGGAGGUACCAACCUUUAAUUCUUUUCUUCUUCUUUUUCCUUCACGCGCAACUGCAACCACCAGCCACCAACAACAUCAUCAACAUGUUCUUGUUCAUCUCCAACCAUGGAAGCCUAUCCUGGCCACCACCACACACACACAAGCUCCCGCCAAGGCUACUCCUCCAACCACCAUGGAUGAGUUUGCUACCACCACCAAGCUUCCUUCUUUCUCCUUUCUCAUGGCCACGAACACACCACCACCGCGCCUUCCUUCACUCUCCAUGGAGCCAGCUACCACCGCUCUUCCUCUCCUCUUGGCUGAGCACAAGCCACCAUAGACACCGCAACGAAAACCUCCGUUCGCAGUGAGGUUAGUACCGUCGAAACCCUUGCGACAUCCACAACAAAACCCAUGUUCCGAAUCGUCGUUCCUCUGCGGUUGCCACCUUUGGAGGAGUUUUCCGCUCAACUCCGGCGACUGAUAGAAAAACGGAGUGCACCACUACAAUCCUUGUCGCGACGAGAGAAAAAACCUUCAAUCAAUUUCAGAUUUGGA